GAUGAACGCUAGCGGAGGCUUAACACAUGCAAGUCGAGGGGUAAAUGGUAGCAAUACUAUGAGACCGGCGGACGGGUGCGUAACGCGUAUGCAACAUACCUGUGCAGGGGGAUAGCCCGUGGAAACGCGGAUUAAUAUUCCAUAGUCCAGCUAUAUCGCAUGGUAUAGUUGGUAAAGAUUUAUCGGCACAAGUUUGGCAUGCGUCUGAUUAGCUUGUUGGUAGGUAACGGCCUACCAAGGCUACGAUCAGUAGGGGUUCUGAGAGGAUUAACCCCCACACUGGUACUGAGACACGGACCAGACUCCUACGGGAGGCAGCAGUGAGGAAUAUUGGUCAAUGGGCGGAAGCCUGAACCAGCCAUCCCGCGUGAAGGAAGACAGCCUUACGGGUUGUAAACUUCUUUUCUGUCAGAAGAAUAAGCUUGUCGAGACGAGUGAUGCCGGUAUGACAGGAAUAAGCAUCGGCUAACUCCGUG
rnacentral:rRNA from 1 species